rnacentral:rRNA from 1 species
UACGAAGGGGACUAGCGUUGUUCGGAAUCACUGGGCGUAAAGCGUGCGCAGGCGGCCAUCCAAGUCAGUGGUGAAAGCCCGGAGCUCAACUCCGGAACUGCCAUUGAAACUGUUUGGCUCGAGUACGAGAGAGGUGAGUGGAAUUCCCAGUGUAGAGGUGAAAUUCGUAGAUAUUGGGAAGAACACCGGUGGCGAAGGCGGCUCACUGGCUCGUAACUGACGCUCAUGCACGACAGCGUGGGGAUCAAAACAGG